GGUUCGAUCAUACUCAGAUUGAACGCUGCGGAUGCUUUACCACAUGCAAGUCGAACGGCAGCACGGACUUCGGUCUGGUGGCGAGUGGCGGAACGGGUGAGUAAUGUAUCGGAACGUGCCUAGUAGUGGGGAUAACUACGCGAAAGCGUAGCUAAUACCGGCACAAUACGCCCUUCGGGAAAGCGGGGACCCUUUUCGGGCCUUCGCACUAUUAGAGCGGCUGAUAUCGCAUUUAGCUAGUUGGUGGGCAACGGCUCACCGGUUGGCGACGAUCCGCUGGUUUGAGAGGACGACCAGCCACACUGGGACUGGGAGAUACGCCCAGACUCACGUGGAGGCAGUGUAAAUUAAUGGGGAACUGAUCCAGCCAUCCUGCAAAAGGAGCGAAGGCCUCGGUUGUAAAAGUGACUUUUGGCAGGAAGAAACGCACGGGCUAACAUCCCGGGAAAUCGACGGUACCUGCAGCGGCACCUGGCGCACCACAAAGCAGCAGCCGUAAUACGUAGUGUAAGCGUUAAUCGGAACUUACUGGCGGAAGUGCAGUGGCAGGCGGUUCGAAAGUGAGGCAUGUGAAAUCCCAGAGCUUAAUUUGGAACUGCAUUUUUAACUACCGAGCUAGAGUGUGUCAGAGGGAGGUGGAAUUCCGCGUGUAGCAGAAUGUGGAUAUGCGAGGAACACCGAUGGCGAAGGCAGCCUCCCGGGGAUAACACUGACGCUCGAUGCAUCGAAAGCGUGGGGAGCAAACAGAUUAGAUACUCCUGGUAGUCCACGCCCUAAACGAUGUCAACUAGCUGUUGGGGCCUUCGGGCCUUGGUAAAGCAGCUAACGCGGGAAGUUGACCGCCUGGGGAGCACGGUCGCAAGAUUUAAACUCAAAGGAAUUGACGGGGACUCCGCAUGCUGCGGAUGAUGUGGAUUAAUCUAUGCACCGAAACCCUACCUACCCUUGACAUGUCUGGAAUCCUGAAGAGAUUUUGGGAGUGCUCGCAAGAGAACCGCCACGGGAACAUGAAAGCGGCAUGGCUGUCGUCAUCGUGUCACGAGAUGUUGGGUUAAGUCCUGCAAUUACGGGGCAACCCUUUAAUAGUUGCUACGAAAGGGCACUCUAGACGAGACUCGCCAGUGACAACCGAGGAAGGUGGGGAGUGACGUCAAGUCCUCAUGGCCCUUAUGGUAGGGCUUCACACGUCAUAUAUUUGUCGGGACAGAGGGUCGCCAACCGCGAGGGUGGCGCCAAUCCCAGAAACCCGAUCGUAGUCCGGAUCGCAGUCUGCAACCCGACUGCGUGAAGUCGGAAUCGCUAGUAACGUGAUCAGUAUGCUCGUGGAUAUGUUCCGGUCUUGUACACACCGCCCGUCACACCAUGUGGAGUGGGGUUUUACCAGAAGUAGUUAGCCUGUCCGUAAAGGAGGGCGAUUACCACGGUAGGAUUCAUGAUCAGGUGAAGUCGCACGGCGUAA
rnacentral:rRNA from 1 species